AAGUCGUAACAAGGUUUCCGUAGGUGAACCUGCGGAAGGAUCAUUAGCGAAAUAACUCGGUUGGAUCACCCGGCACUUACCAUGGGUCGGGCCCUUCCGUAUCACAUACACUUUGUUGAACUGUCGAGGGGUUGGUUUACGCCUUCCCUUUAUCUUUUACCCUGUAAAGUUGUGGAAUGUUUACGGUGAAAACCAAAAUACAAUUUGUAACAACGGAUCUCUUGGCUCUC
rnacentral:misc_RNA from 1 species